UUGCUGUACACUUUCUCUGGCUCCCCAGGCUCUGCAGCACCCUUUGAUCACCCUCUAGCCUCUGCAAGCAAGCUCCUCCAGCA
rnacentral:lncRNA from 1 species